AUGCAGUCGAGGGGCAGCAUGAUUUGUAGCAAUACAGAUUGAUGGCGACCGGCGCACGGGUGAGUAACGCGUAUGCAACUUACCUAUCAGAGGGGGAUAGCCCGGCGAAAGUCGGAUUAAUACCCCAUAAAACAGGGGUCCCGCAUGGGAAUAUUUGUUAAAGAUUCAUCGCUGAUAGAUAGGCAUGCGUUCCAUUAGGCAGUUGGCGGGGUAACGGCCCACCAAACCGGCGAUGGAUAGGGGCUCUGAGAGGAAGGUCCCCCACAUUGGUACUGAGACACGGACCAAACUCCUACGGGAGGCAGCAGUGAGGAAUAUUGGUCAAUGGCCGAGAGGCUGAACCAGCCAAGUCGCGUGAAGGAAGAAGGAUCUAUGGUUUGUAAACUUCUUUUAUAGGGGAAUAAAGUGGAGGACGUGUCCUUUUUUGUAUGUACCCUAUGAAUAAGCAUCGGCUAACUCCGUGCCAGCAGCCGCGGUAAUACGGAGGAUGCGAGCGUUAUCCGGAUUUAUUGGGUUUAAAGGGUGCGUAGGUGGUGAUUUAAGUCAGCGGUGAAAGUUUGUGGCUCAACCAUAAAAUUGCCGUUGAAACUGGGUUACUUGAGUGUGUUUGAGGUAGGCGGAAUGCGUGGUGUAGCGGUGAAAUGCAU
rnacentral:rRNA from 1 species